UAGUCCACGCCGUAAACGAUGAUCACUCGUUGUAUGUCAGAAUGAUGGCAUGUGACCAAGCGAAAGCAUUAAGUGAUCCACCUGGGGAGUACGUUCGCAAGAAUGAAACUCAAAGGAAUUGACGGGGGCCCGCACAAGCGGAGGAACAUGUGGUUUAAUUCGAUGCAACGCGAAGAACCUUACCUGGGCUUGAACUGGUAACGCAAUAUCCUGAAAGGGAUAGUUUCUUCGGAACGUUAUUAGAGGUGCUGCAUGGCUGUCGUCAGCUCGUGUCGUGAGAUGUUGGGUUAAGUCCCGCAACGAGCGCAACCCUUGCCCUUAGUUGCCAGCACGUAAUGGUGGGAACUCUAAGGGGACUGCCUCGGCUAACGGGGAGGAAGGUGGGGACGACGUCAAGUCAUCAUGGCCCUUACGUCCAGGGCUACACACGUGCUACAAUGGCCGGUACAAUGGGCAGCUAAACAGCGAUGUUAUGCGAAUCCCAUAAAACCGGUCUCAGUUCGGAUUG
rnacentral:rRNA from 1 species